AAGCUGUGAUAAUUAAUAUGAAUUGCAGAACCCUGUGAAUCAUCGAAAUUUCGAACGCAUAGCACCCAAGGUUCUGCCUUGGGUACAUCUGGCUGAGUGACGCAUUUAAAUAUUGUUUCUCACCCCCCUUUUGGGGGUGUGGUGACAGAGUUUGCAGACGCGAGCCUCUCGCUACUGUAAAAUGAUUUUGAGCGGACACAGCAUUUUUUUACCGUCCAACAAAAGGUCUUCUGACCGAAAGGCUUUAAAAAAAUGGAUUUUGCUGUUCUGCUCGCUUCAAAAACCGAAAGAAAAAAGAAAUUUUUUUUUUCUCUUUUAUACGUCCUCAGCUCAGGUGAGAUUACCCGCUGAACUUAA
rnacentral:misc_RNA from 1 species